UACGUAGGGCGCAAGCGUUGUCCGGAAUUAUUGGGCGUAAAGAGCUCGUAGGCGGCCUGUUACGUCUACUGUGAAAUCCCGGGGCUUAACCCCGGGCGUGCAGUGGAUACGGGCAGGCUGGAGGCAGGCAGGGGAGAACGGAAUUCCUGGUGUAGCGGUGAAAUGCGUAGAUAUCAGGAGGAACACCGGUGGUGUAGACGGCUUUCUGGACCGUAACUGACGCUGAGACACGAAAGCGUGGGUAGCAAACAGG
rnacentral:rRNA from 1 species